UACGAAGGGGCUAGCGUUGUUCGGAAUUACUGGGCGUUAAAGCGUGCGCAGGCGGCUUCUCAAGUCAGGGGUGAAAGCCCAGAGCUCAACUCUGGAAUUGCCUUUGAGACUGAGUGGCUUGAGUACGAGAGAGGUGAGUGAAUUCCAGUGUAGAGGUGAAAUUCGUAGAUAUUGGGAAGAACACCGGUGGCGAAGGCGGCUCACUGGCUCGUAACUACGCUCUGCACGACAGCGUGGGGAUCAAACAGG
rnacentral:rRNA from 1 species